rnacentral:rRNA from 1 species
UAAGGCCGAUGGCGACCGGCGCACGGGUGAGUAACACGUAUCCAACCUGCCGUCUACUCUUGGACAGCCUUCUGAAAGGAAGAUUAAUACAAGAUGGCAUCAUGAGUCCGCAUGUUCACAUGAUUAAAGGUAUUCCGGUAGACGAUGGGGAUGCGUUCCAUUAGAUAGUAGGCGGGGUAACGGCCCACCUAGUCUUCGAUGGAUAGGGGUUCUGAGAGGAAGGUCCCCCACAUUGGAACUGAGACACGGUCCAAACUCCUACGGGAGGCAGCAGUGAGGAAUAUUGGUCAAUGGGCGAGAGCCUGAACCAGCCAAGUAGCGUGAAGGAUGACUGCCCUAUGGGUUGUAAACUUCUUUUAUAAAGGAAUAAAGUCGGGUAUGGAUACCCGUUUGCAUGUACUUUAUGAAUAAGGAUCGGCUAACUCCGUGCCAGCAGCCGCGGUAAUACGGAGGAUCCGAGCGUUAUCCGGAUUUAUUGGGUUUAAAGGGAGCGUAGAUGGAUGUUUAAGUCAGUUGUGAAAGUUUGCGGCUCAACCGUAAAAUUGCAGUUGAUACUGGAUAUCUUGAGUGCAGUUGAGGCAGGCGGAAUUCGUGGUGUAGCGGUGAAAUGCUUAGAUAUCACGAGGAACUCCGAUUGCGAAGGCAGCCUGCUAAGCUGCAACUGACAUUGAGGCUCGAAAGUGUGGGUAUCAAACAGGAUUAGAUACCCUGGUAGUCCACACGGUAAACGAUGAAUACUCGCUGUUUGCGAUAUACAGCAAGCGGCCAAGCGAAAGCGUUA